rnacentral:lncRNA from 1 species
UAAGAUCCAGCUCAUUAGAUGUUUGUAUUCCUUCUACUCGUUUGUGUUGUACCAACGGGCGGACCCACAUUGUCGAUAGUGGUGGCACUUCCCCAAGUAACAUAUAAAACUGAGAACAAUUAUUAUUAACCAAUGUUGUUUAAGUGGUGAUAUGGUUAAGUAAGUAUUCAAUAAAAGGUAGAGGUGCCACGUUCGAUUCCACCUUGCAACAUCUUUCCCCCAUUAAAUUAUUUUCUUGGGUCCGCCCGUGGUUGC